rnacentral:rRNA from 1 species
AACGUAGGACACAAGCGUUAUCCGGAAUUACUGGGCGUAAAGCGUGCGUAGGCGGUGAGUUAAGUCUGUCGUGAAAGCCCCGGGCUCAACCUGGGAAUGGCGAUGGAUACUGGCUCGCUAGAGUGCGGUAGAGGAGAGUGGAAUUCCCGGUGUAGCAGUGAAAUGCGUAGAGAUCGGGAGGAACAUCAGUUGCGAAGGCGGCUCUCUGGACCAGCACUGACACUGAGGCACGAAAGCGUGGGGAGCAAACAGG